rnacentral:piRNA from 1 species
UGGAGCCAGCCUGUAGUCAACGUGCAG